GACGAACGCUGGCGGCGUGCUUAACACAUGCAAGUCCAACGCUGAAGCUCAGCUUUUGUUGGGUGGAUGAGUGGCGAACGGGUGAGUAACACGUGAGUAACCUGCCUCCUUCUUUGGGAUAACGCCCGGAAACGGGUGCUAAUACUGGAUAUUCACUGGUCUUCGCAUGGGGGUUGGUGGAAAGGGUUUUUCUGGUGGGGGAUGGGCUCGCGGCCUAUCAGCUUGUUGGUGGGGUGAUGGCCUACCAAGGCUUUGACGGGUAGCCGGCCUGGGAGGGUGACCGGUAACAUGGGGACUGAGAUAGGGCCCAGACUCCUACGGGAGGCAGCAGUGGGGAAUAUUGCACAAUGGGCGCAAGCAUGAUGCAGCGCCGCCGCGUGAGGGAUGGAGGCCUUCGGGUUGUGAACCUCUUUCGAUAAUGGUCAAGCCGCAACAAUGGUUGUGGUGAGGGUAGUGGGUAAAGAAGCGCCGGCUAACUACGUG
rnacentral:rRNA from 1 species